GUGGGGAAUCUUCCGCAAUGGACGAAAGUCUGACGGAGCGACGCCGCGUGAGUGAUGAAGGCCUUCGGGUCGUAAAGCUCUGUCAUCGGGGACGAAUGGUCGUUGGAGUGGAAAGCCAGCGAAAUGACGGUACCCGAGAAGGAAGCCACGGCUAACUACGUGCCAGCAGCCGCGGUAAUACGUAGGUGGCAAGCGUUGUCCGGAAUUAUUGGGCGUAAAGCGCGCGCAGGUGGGAUCUUAAGUCCAUUUUGAAAGUUCGGAGCUCAACUCCGUGAUGGGAUGGAAACUGGGAUUCUUGAGUACCGGAGAGGAAAGCGGAAUUCCCCGUGUAGCGGUGAAAUGCGUAGAUAUGGGGAGGAACACCAGUGGCGAAGGCGGCUUUCUGGACGGUGUCUGACACUGAGGCGCGAAAGCCAGGGGAGCGAACGGGAUUAGAAACCCCAGUAGUCC
rnacentral:rRNA from 1 species